rnacentral:lncRNA from 1 species
CUCUUGACCCGGUCGUGCCUGGAGGAAGACGCCGAGGCGGGAGGUUUAAGUAUCCCGGUUUAAGUCUCCUUAGGCGAGGAAGGCUUCUCUUUCUAGCAGGUCCAGAUAUCCUGAGUCUCCCGGAAACUGCAGGAGGGGACAGGACCCGACUUCGAGACUGUAGGGUGGGGUGAGGGGAUGAGGUAGGUCUGUGAGUCUGCCCUAGUGAUAGCCUCUUACCGCCUAGGCUGCUUGGGGGCAAAUUUUCCUCCAAGGAAGAGGGUGGUAUGCUCAGGAACCAGCGAGAGGGGGGCUCUAGGACUGGGCGGGGGUGUGGCGCGGUCCUGCUGAUCUUAGCUGGUGCUCUGUGAGCAGGCUCCUUCCCUUGCUGUGGGGAAAUGAAGCCUGAGACCAGGGUCAGAACCAAUAAAGGGACCAUCUGGGACUGUCAGGUUAGCAUUUUGCUGCAGCUGCUCCCUUAGGUCACCACUCACUAGGAGCUUGUCUUCUUCUCAUAAGAAUGGGAAUUUGAGGCCUUCUUUAAAGAUGAAAAAAUCAAGGCCCAGAGAGGGGGAGUGACUCUCUCAAGGUCACACAGCAAGUUCUAUCAGAACCACAUAGAAGUCAUAUCUUAAGACUCCUAGCCCUAGAUUUUCCCUUGCACCAGCUACUGCUCCUUGAUUUGGGAGAAAACAUUUUUUUUCAAGGCAAAACAAGAGACCCCAAAAUGCAGAAAAUAGAGGAAGUCCUGAGUCUGGGGGUCAGAUUAGAAAAGAAAUAAUGGUCCCAUUUUCUAGGCAAGGGGAACCACUGUCCAUUCAAGCUGCUGCUGCUGCUGCUGCUUCCUCCUCCUCCUCCUCCUCCUCCUCCUCCUCCUCUUCUUCUUCUUCUUCUUCUUCUCCUCCUUCUUCUUCUUUCUCCUUCUCCUUCUCCUCCUCCUUCUCCUUCUUCACACUUGUCUGCCUCAUAGGCCAGCCUUGCCUGAUUUAUUUAACUGCAAGUUAGAAACUGGGAGAGAACCAACUUGGAGCUUUUUUGGUCUGGGAAAGAAAAUCCAAACCAUGCUUCUCUAGGGCCUCCUGACCUGGCUAAGCACCUUGGAGGGAACCCUGGCCACGAGGGAUCCAAGCACCGCUCUGGUUUCCCAGAAGCCUGUGGAUGACUCUCAUCUGGCGGUGGACCUCAGAUGGGGCUCAGCAGUGAAAGAGGGGAAGACAAAAAUCUGGCGAGCGAGCUGCCCGGGCCGAGACUGGCCACUUCAAACAGCCCUUCAAACAAAAGGAGACGACGAAAAGAAAGCCCCACCUGUCUCCAGUGUUUGCUAAAAUAAUAAUAAAUAGAUUUCGUUUAAUAAAUAAUUACAA